rfam:Glycine soja cultivar W05 scaffold4774_24, whole genome shotgun sequence.
UUCUUAUUGGAUAAUAACUAUCACGUGUCAUGUUCUGGUUAAUCAAUGAAAACAACAAUGCAUUUCAUCUUUCAUGACACGUGACAGUCAUCAUCUAAUAAGAACGUGACACAUGACAAUCAACAUUA